AAAUCUCAUGAACCAUCCUUGACUUGCCUUGAACUCUACGUCUUCUUCAUCUGGAUAUGUUUUCUUCCGGUCCUCAAACACAGACAACACUUUCUCUUGAAUGAUUUCCUGACUAAUAGUAGCACGCUAACGAUUCAACCUAACACUCCAAAGAGAAAGAAGACUUUCCAGUUCUUCAAAGAUUUUGCCUCUUUUCUUAUUGAUGACAGUGUUCUUCAUCCCUGGGGUAUCAGAUUUGAUAUGUGCUAAAAUCAUGUCCUUAUUAUGUACAAUCAUUGAUACAGUUGUCCGACUCAUCCCAAAAGAUUGUGCACUUGCUACUACUUUUUCACCUUUUUCAUGGCGUUUUAUCAUAGUCAGUUUAUCUUCCAGUGUUAUAGCAUGGCGCUUAGUACUUUCAGUAUGAAUUUUCUUAGGAGCCAUGGAGGUAAAAAAAUAAAGUCACAAAUGAUUGAGAAAGUAGCCGAUAAACAGAUGUAAACAAAUCUGAAUUCAAAACAAUCGUGGGAAUCACGAGUGACAUCGACACCUAACAGUAGAUAUUGGAACUACAAUGUAAUAUGAGCUCCGAAAGACAGAUAAAUAGGACAACACGGCUGAUCUCAUGAUUUCGUUCACUAAGCUACACUACUUUAUGUCUUUUGACUGUGGCCAUGCUGGAGCACUGCCUUUAGUGGAACAAAUUGACCCCCAGCACCUAGUCUUUAUUGACAACACGACAGGCUGAAUCUGGCCAGUUUGAAACCAGAUAUGGCCAGUUUGAAACCAGAUAUGGCUAGAUUGAAACCAGAUAUGGCCAGUUUAAAUACUAAGGGAUUGAGAUUGUUUUUGACAAGAUCCCCAAACUGUUUACUUGGCUUCUGUCUCAGUCAUUUACCACACUGCAACUCGUUGUAAGACAACUGCUUAGGUAACCUAUCAACCUGCAUCCUAGUAAGAUGUCCAGCCCACCACAACUAAUUGCAUAUGAGGAGCAUCUCAAUAUUACUUAUGCUAGCUUGCUAUAAAAACAGAGCUGUCAGAUGUUAGAGACUGCCAUCUGCUAUAUAGGAUCCUCCUUAGUCAUUUCACUGAGGCCAUGCUGGAGCACCACCUUUAAUUGAACAAAUCGACCCCAGGACUUAUUCUUUAUUUACCGUAAAUAAUGAAAUUGGCUUCAAAAAUUAUUUCCGGGGGGGGGGGGGUAAAAAAAAAAUAAUACAAAUAAUUAUCUCUAAAAUUACAAGACGUUCCAACUCCACCAUUUUACAUAUUUUUCAAAAUUAUUGUUAAGAAAUAAAAGGAAAAUAGAGAAGAGAA